ensembl:lncRNA
ACUGUUUCCCACAUAUUGGAUUGGCAAAGAUUAUAAAGAUGUAUAAAACCUGGUAAGGACAUUGGAAAAUCAGGCAUUCUUGUUCUGAGUUCAUUUAUGCAUGCAACAGAUAGCAACUCCUGUGUUCCAGACACGUUCUAAGCACUGGGAAUACAGCACUGAACGAGACCCCCACCUUUAAAGAUCGUAGGUUCCAACUGGGUGGAGGCUGAUAGUAAAAAAUAUAUAUAAUGUUUUGGGGAACUCAGUACAAUGAAGAAAAAGCAAGAAAAGAGAUAAAUGAUAAGGUAGGCCAUUUUUAAAGGGCUGAAGGAGGGAGGAUCCUCUGGGGCAGUGGCAUUAGAGCAGAGACCAACUUGCAUGGAACACAGUAGCGUGAGCAGCCAUGCAGCCCAUCCAGGGGGAGAUCAGCACAGGCAGAGGAAAGAUGUGCAGAGGCUGUGAGCAGGGGCAUGCUGGGUGCAGUCAAGGACUGGCAAGCUGUCCAGAGUGGCUGCAGCAGUGUGGUCGAAGGGGAGGAGAGCAGAUGGGCAGAUGGGAUGGUAGAGGUUGCUCUGAGGUCAUGGGAAGGAUGACCUUACCGUGGUUGGCUUUUAUCUCAAAUGUUACAGGAAACCAUUCGAAAUUUUUAAACAAAAGAAUGAUGUGAUCCAACCUAUAUCAUAAAAGUAUCACUGACUAUCUGAUGAGUACACUGUAGUGGGGAUGUGGGCAGUGGUUAGAGAGUUCAUUUUGAAUUGAAUAUAUUUUGUUACUCUCUACCUGUUUCACUUAUUGUAAGGUUUUCUUUUUUCUUUUUUUUUUUUGAGACAGGGUCUUGCUGUGUCACCCAGGCUGGAGUGCAGUGGUGUGACCUUGGCUCACUGCAGCUUUGACUCCCCGGCUCAAAUGCUCCUCCUGAGCCUGAGUAGCUGAGACCACAGGCAUGUGCCACCACAUCCAGCUAAAUUUUUUGUUUUUCGUAGAGACAGAGGUCUCACUAUGUUGCCUAGGCUAGUCUUGAACUUCUCGGCUCAAGUGAUCCUCCUGCCUCAGCCUUCCAAAGUGCUGGGAUUACAGGUGUGAGCCACCACGCCUGGCUGACUACAACUUUUAAUAUUUUUUAAUUUUUGCAACUUUUUUUUUUUUUUAAAUGGAGUCUCGCCCUGUCGCCCAGCGUACAGUGCAGUGGCGCGAUCUCAGCUCACUGCAAGUUCCAUCUCCUGGCUUCACGCCAUUCUCCUGCCUCAGCCUCCCGAGUAGCUGGGACUACAGGCACCUGCCACCACCCCUGGCUAAUUUUUGAAUUUUUAGUAGAGACGGGGUUUCACUGCGUUAGCCAGGAUGGUCUCCAUCUUCUGACCUCGUGAUCCACCCGCCUCAGCCUCCCAAAGUGCUGGAAUUACAGGCGUGAACCACCACACCCAGCCUAAUUUUUGCAACUUUUUAUAGUGAGACUUAUACAGUGAUUUAAAUUAUAUACAGGGUGCUCAGCCAGCACAAAGCUGUGGUGAGAUUUGGAUCCAGGUCUCAGGCUCCAGAUUCCAAACCACAUUUAAAAAAAAAAAAAAAAA